rnacentral:RNase_P_RNA from 1 species
UGAGCGUGGCGAGUGAGGAUCGCCGUCGGACUUGUCCGGCGGAGGAAAGUCCGAGCUCUACAGGGCAGGGUGCCGGGUAACGCCCGGGCGUCGCGAGACGACGGAAAGUGCAACAGAAAAGAAACCGCCGAUGGCCGUUCGCGGCACAGGCAAGGGUGAAAUGGUGCGGUAAGAGCGCACCGGGCCGAUGGUGACAGAGGUCGCAUGGUAAACCCCACCCGGAGCAAGGCCAAAUAGGGGGCGAUGGGAUGGCCCGUUCCAUUGGAGUCCCGGGUAGGCCGCACGAGGCCGUUGGUAACAGCGGUCCCAGAUGAAUGAUCCUCCCCUCGCAAGAGGGACAGAACUCGGCUUAUUCCGCGCGCUCACUCU